UACAGAGGUGGCAAGCGUUGUUCGGAUUUAUUGGGCGUAAAGGGUCCGUAGGCGGUUUGAAAAGUCAGAUGUGAAAUCCCACAGCUCAACUGUGGAACUGCAUUUGAAACUUUCAGACUAGAGUAUGAGAGGGGUUAAGGGAAUUCCCGGUGUAAGGGUGAAAUCUGCAGAGAUCGGGAGGAACACCAGUCGCGAAGGCGCU
rnacentral:rRNA from 1 species